GGGGAUUUAGCUCAGCGGCAUAAGCGCCUGCCUUGCAAGCAGGAAGCCGUGGGUUCGAUCCCUG
rnacentral:tRNA from 1 species